rnacentral:misc_RNA from 1 species
AAGUCGUAACAAGGUUUCCGUAGGUGAACCUGCGGAAGGAUCAUUACAAAUCAUGGCGAUUCCUCGCCAUUUUUUUUUUUCGUAUUUAAAACAUCCCGCUCUUGUAAAAAAACAAUAUAUUUUUUAAUUGUUAAAAAAAGAUCACUUUCAACAACGGAUCUCUUGGCUCUC